UANAUACAUGCAAGUCGAGCGCAGGAAGUCAUCCGAACCCUUCGGGGGGACGUUGACGGAAUGAGCGGCGGACGGGUGAGUAACACGUAAAGAACCUGCCCUCAGGUCUGGGAUAACCACGAGAAAUCGGGGCUAAUACCGGAUGGGUCAUCGGACCGCAUGGUCCGAGGAUGAAAGGCGCUCCGGCGUCGCCUGGGGAUGGCUUUGCGGUGCAUUAGCUAGUUGGUGGGGUAACGGCCCACCAAGGCGACGAUGCAUAGCCGACCUGAGAGGGUGAUCGGCCACACUGGGACUGAGACACGGCCCAGACUCCUACGGGAGGCAGCAGUAGGGAAUCUUCCACAAUGGACGAAAGUCUGAUGGAGCAACGCCGCGUGAACGAUGAAGGCCCUCGGGUCGUAAAGUUCUGUUGUAAGGGAAGAACAAGUGCCGCAGGCAAUGGCGGCACCUUGACGGUACCUUGCGAGAAAGCCACGGCUAACUACGUGCCAGCAGCCNNCGGUNNUANAA
rnacentral:rRNA from 1 species